AUUAGAUACCCGGGUAGUCCUAGCCGUAAACGAUACUCGCUAGGUGUCGGCCACGGUGCGACCGUUGUCGGUGCCGUAGGGAAGCCGUGAAGCGAGCCACCUGGGAAGUACGGCCGCAAGGCUGAAACUUAAAGGAAUUGGCGGGGGAGCACCACAACGGGUGGAGCUUGCGGUUUAAUUGGAUUCAACGCCGGAAAUCUUACCGGGACCGACAGCAAUAUGAAGGCCAGGCUGAAGACUUUGCCGGAUUAGCUAAGAGGUGGUGCAUGGC
rnacentral:rRNA from 1 species